rnacentral:rRNA from 1 species
UACGAAAGGUGCAAGCGUUACUCGGAAUUACUGGGCGUAAAGCGCGCGUAGGCGGCCUGUUAAGUCGAACGUGAAAUCCCCGGGCUCAACCCGGGAACUGCGUCCGAUACUGGCAGGCUUGAAUCCGGGAGAGGGAUGCGGAAUUCCAGGUGUAGCGGUGAAAUGCGUAGAUAUUGGGAGGAACACCAGUGGCGAAGGCGGCUCACUGGACCGGUGCUGACGCUGAGGCGCGAAAGCGUGGGGAGCAAACGGG